GGACUACCAGGGUAUCUAAUCCCGUUCGCUCCCCUGGCUUUCGUGUCUCAGCGUCAGCUCAGCCCCAGCGACCUGUUUUCACCUUUGGCGUUCCAGACGAUAUCUACGCAUUUCACCGCUCCACCGUCUGUUCCGGUCGCCCCUAGCUGGCUCAAGACAGGCAGUAUACCCAGCCGUUCCACGGUUGAGCCGUGGGAUUUCACAAGGUACUUGCCCGCCCGCCUACACACGCUUUAAGCCCAGUGAUUCCGCCUAACGCUUGGCACCUCUGUCUUACCGCGGCUGCUGGCAC
rnacentral:rRNA from 1 species